rnacentral:rRNA from 1 species
AUUGAACGCUGGCGGCAGGCCUAACACAUGCAAGUCGAGCGGAGCGGCGGACGGGUGAGUAAUGCCUAGGAAUCUGCCUGGUAGUGGGGGAUAACGUCCGGAAACCGGCGCUAAUACCGCAUACUAUCAGAUGAGCCUAUGUCGGAUUAGCUAGUUGGUGGGGUAAUGGCCUACCAAGGCGACGAUCCGUAACUGGUCUGAGAGGAUGAUCAGUCACACUGGAACUGAGACAAGGUCCAGAAUCCUCCGGAAGGCAGCAGUGGGGAAGUGUGGACAAGGGGCGAAAGCCUGAUGCAGCAAUGCCGCGGGUGUGAAGAAGGUCGUCGGGUUGUAAAGCACUUUAAGUUGGGAGGCGUUACCAACAGAAUAAGCACCGGCUAACGUCGUGCCAGCAGCCGCGGUAAUAC